GACUCGAUGGUUAAGUUGGUAAAAUAUCAAAAUGAGGGGUGCAGGUUCGAUACCGGCUGGGGCCC